AGACUCGAGGCUGAGAGCCCUCUCCCAUCUUCUGGGGAGAAAGAGUAGCAAUGUUAUUGAAUAUUAUCUUCAGCCAACUUGUAUUAAAGGUGAACAAUUUUCUAUUCCUUCACUUGAUAAAUUGAUAAAUCACAGAAGAAUUUUCUGAACAUACAAGAGAAAAAAGGUAAUGAGAAAGA